UCGCUGUGAAGAUGCAGUGUACCCGCGGCAAGACGGAAAGACCCCGUGAACCUUUACUAUAGCUUGACACUGAACAUUGAGCCUUGAUGUGUAGGAUAGGUGGGAGGCUUUGAAGUGUGGACGCCAGUCUGCAUGGAGCCGACCUUGAAAUACCACCCUUUAAUGUUUGAUGUUCUAACGUGGACCCGUGAUCCGGGUUGCGGACAGUGUCUGGUGGGUAGUUUGACUGGGGCGGUCUCCUCCUAAAGAGUAACGGAGGAGCACGAAGGUUGGCUAAUCCUGGUCGGACAUCAGGAGGUUAGUGCAAUGGCAUAAGCCAGCUUGACUGCGAGCGUGACGGCGCGAGCAGGUGCGAAAGCAGGUCAUAGUGAUCCGGUGGUUCUGAAUGGAAGGGCCAUCGCUCAACGGAUAAAAGGUACUCCGGGGAUAACAGGCUGAUACCGCCCAAGAGUUCAUAUCGACGGCGGUGUUUGGCACCUCGAUGUCGGCUCAUCACAUCCUGGGGCUGAAGUAGGUCCCAAGGGUAUGGCUGUUCGCCAUUUAAAGUGGUACGCGAGCUGGGUUUAGAACGUCGUGAGACAGUUCGGUCCCUAUCUGCCGUGGGCGCUGGAGAACUGAGGGGGGCUGCUCCUAGUACGAGAGGACCGGAGUGGACGCAUCACUGGUGUUCGGGUUGUCAUGCCAAUGGCACUGCCCGGUAGCUAAAUGCGGAAGAGAUAAGUGCUGAAAGCAUCUAAGCACGAAACUUGCCCCGAGAUGAGUUCUCCCUGACCCUUUAAGGGUCCUGAAGGAACGUUGAAGACGACGACGUUGAUAGGCCGGGUGUGUAAGCGCAGCGAUGCGUUGAGCUAACCGGUACUAAUGAACCGUGAGGCUUAACCUU
rnacentral:rRNA from 1 species